rnacentral:rRNA from 1 species
GAUGAACGCUGGCGGCGUUCCUAAUACAUGCAAGUCGAGCGAACAGACGAGGAGCUUGCUCCUCUGACGUUAGCGGCGGACGGGUGAGUAACACGUGGAUAACCUACCUAUAAGACUGGGAUAACUUCGGGAAACCGGAGCUAAUACCGGAUAAUAUAUUGAACCGCAUGGUUCAAUAGUGAAAGACGGUUUUGCUGUCACUUAUAGAUGGAUCCGCGCCGCAUUAGCUAGUUGGUAAGGUAACGGCUUACCAUGGCAACGAUGCGUAGCCGACCUGAGAGGGUGAUCGGACACACUGGAACUGAGACACGGUCCAGACUCCUACGGGAGGCAGCAGUAGGGAAUCUUCCGCAAUGGGCGAAAGCCUGACGGAGCAACGCCGCGUGAGUGAUGAAGGUCUUCGGAUCGUAAAACUCUGUUAUUAGGGAAGAACAAAUGUGUAAGUAACUAUGCACGUCUUGACGGUACCUAAUCAGAAAGCCACGGCUAACUACGUG